rnacentral:rRNA from 1 species
ACGCUCGACACCUACGGGAGCAGCAGUGGGGAAUAUUGCACAAUGGGGGAAACCCUGAUGCAGCGACGCCGCGUGAGUGAAGAAGUAUUUCGGUAUGUAAAGCUCUAUCAGCAGGGAAGAAAAUGACGGUACCUGACUAAGAAGCCCCGGCUAACUACGCGCCAGCAGCCGCGGUAAUCUGAGGCGGGCGUGGCGAAGGC